rnacentral:misc_RNA from 1 species
GAUGAAGAACGUAGUGAAAUGUGAUAAGUAAUGUGAAUUGCAGAAUUCAGUGAAUCAUCGAAUCUUUGAACGCACAUUGCGCCCCCUGGUAUUCCGGGGGGCAUGCCUGUUCGAGCGUCAUUUCACCACUCAAGCCUCGCUUGGUAUUGGGCAACGCGGUCCGCCGCGUGCCUCAAAUCGACCGGCUGGGUCUUCUGUCCCCUAAGCGUUGUGGAAACUAUUCGCUAAAGGGUGUUCGGGAGGCUACGCCGUAAAACAACCCCAUUUCUAAGGUUGACCUCGGAUCAGGUAGGGAUACCCGCUGAACUUAAGCAUAUCAAUAAGCGGAGGA